AUCUCUAUCCACCACCCUUUGCAGGCACUGAAUUCAAGAUCAUGUCCGCUUCAAGCAGGAGUCUGUCUGGAUCAGAAGAGGAGGAAAGGACUUCUUAUUUUUUUCAAAUGGUUUACUCCUUCAUGUAAAUAUAUUGCAUGACAGAGUCAUAUCAACUAGAAGACACCAGAUUUGGUUCCUCGAACUGUUCUCAGAUAUGAAGUGGACACUAUGUUUGGCACCAGUAUCCUAAAAUGAAAACAAAGCUUGGACAGUCAGUUCAGCCUGGAUGCAUAGCUUUUACCAGCGGUCAAAGCACUUCUUUGGAGUUUUUUAUUUGGAAGGCUCUACAUUCCAAUCAAGUCAGCAUUGUUUCCUUGAAGAAAUGGCUGCGAAGGACCUGCUCAAGAGAAUGUGCUGGGGGCAGCCCGCAAGUGUUGCCGCUCUUCCGGCGCCAACAUAGCAUGCCCACAGCUCCUAACCUGUACAUCUUUGGAAUGUGAGAGGAGACCGGAACACCCGGAGGAAACCCACGCAGAUGCAGGGAGAACGUACAAGCUCCUUACAGACAGCAGCGGAAUCGAACCUGGGUCGCUAACGUUGUAAUAGCUUUACACUAACCGCUACACUACCGUGACGCCAUGGUACUUAUGCUCAUCUUCUCA